CAGUCAAGGCAAGAAAGCAAAAUUCACAGAAUUUAUUUUAAAUAAAUCAACCUUUAAAAACUAGGUAGAGUCACAGAUAGACAAAGUCAGAUAAAGGCAUCAUCCUUGACUUAUCUCCACCUCUGCCCCUCCAUCAUCCAUACCCAGCUUCAAAUGGACCACACGCCUGAGUCUGCCUUCUUGAUGAGGUCCAUAGCUUGGUAUCUUCCUGGCCUCCUAAAUUAGUUAAACUUAAAGGUCCUAGAGAAUGGGUGGCUUUUAUUUCCUUGGUCAAGCCAUCUCUCCACUCCACUCUUCAGGGCCCCCAAACCCAAUGUUUAAACACGGGCUCAUUAAACACCUUGCAUAAGGGGCUCCCCAGAAGAAUCACAUGAGGCAAAUGCCCUCCUUUGGCCAACAGACAAGACACAAGGCAUCAUGCAAAACAGCCCAUUUAAAUGACAGGGUAGUCAGAAGAGGACCUACAAUCAAUUUGGGGUGUACACCACCACUGGAAAUAAAAAAGAUGGAGAAAAUGGUAUAUAACAGAAAGAUCUGUGGUUAGGGGAAAAAAUAUGUCAAUCAGCCCCCUGGGCUAGGGACCGAGACCCCUGAAGGACAUGCCGAACUGCCGAGGAAGGGGGUUUGUUAAAGGCAGCAGGAGGCAUUAGGUUUGGGACCAUAAAGGAGGCACAGCCUCACAGCAGGCUGCUGUGUGUGGACCUUCUUCCCUUGACCCCCAGUACGUUGCCUCAAUAUUCAGUCAGUUAUCUCUACUCCUCCCCAGGAGGCCAGAGAGCAGCAGCUUGCACUCCUGGCUUAAACAAAAGCACCAAAUCACCCAUCUGCCCUAAGUGGCAACAUGCAUCUCAGCCCAUUCCUGACGUAAGGACAGAUUACAAUAUGUAUAUGAUGUGGAUUGUAUUACUUUUCUGAUUCUAAGGGCUGCAGAUGUCCAGACAAGGGAUUUUAAGAUAAUGAGAUCAGGGAAGGCUUCAAGGUGGUGGGAUUUGGGGGUGUGGGUGCUGUGUAUGUGUGAAAGGAAUAAGAACAAAUCGGAUGAGGGUUGCCCAGCAGGUGGAAGAUGCUGGGCUCCUUGUGCUCCUCCCUCCCAUACAUAUUCCUUCCCCGAAGUUCUGCGAAGGCUGGAAGGACCAUCUCCAGAGGUUAAGCAGCUGAUGGUUACUCUUCACUUGAGAAUGGAAAAAAGUCAGCAGCUAUGACCUGCUCCAUUAGGGAAGACUGACCGGGGCCCUAACUCUAAGAUCAAGCCAGUCUUAACACUGGCCUUCAACUUGACUUUGAAUCUCUACCUUGAUCAGUUUGUAUUCCAAGCAGCAUUAUGGUCCUCAAUAGCAUUUCAGAAUUUUAGACUUUGCAAGACCCUGGACAUCUGGUCCAACCACUCCCAAUUAGAAUUAUCCCCACCUCUCCCUGUGUGGCCAGAAGCAGCCUGCACUAACAUUUCCUCAAGGUUUAUCUUCUGACUCAGUAUCUCCUAGUUUCUUGUUUCUCUCUCACAGGGGAGAUGUGUCUAAGCACUCCUUUCUUAGUGGUGACCAGCACGACCCCACUUACCAUUAUGUUAUGUCCUUCCGUGCUGCCAAAGCUAGGAAUAGGUAUUACAGACUCUUGAAAGACAGAUAAUAGCAUUCAGCACAGGUGAAAUAAAGCUCUGGGCUAUUAGGAAAGAUGCUGGGCUGAGCCUUAACUUGUCCCUUUCCAAAUUUUAGGAUGAAUCUGAAGCUGUGGAUAGACUGCUCCUAGGCAGGGAAAUAUGAUCACUUUGCUAGGAGCUCAGCAUGUACAUCAACAGGGCCUGAUAAAUAGCCUUAUGUGUCCUUUUCCGACUCUCUUGGGUAUAUGAGUUCCCCAGAUGAGAGCAUCAUAUCCUAUGUCCCCCUGGCCCAUCUGGGCGCAGCAAGGGAGAAGACAAAGCCCAAGUGUCAGUCGUCUCUCUUACUCUGGGGCAAGACAUAUUUGAGAGCUGAAGGGAUGGCACAGAAAGACUAGAGGUUAAAACAUUAAAAACAUUGGCGCUCUGAUGUGAACCCUCCCUCUCUGUCCACUAAAAUCUUUUAUGGGCCAUGCAGAACCAGGUGGCGAUAGACUACGGAAUAUGGUUGCUGGCAGUGCUUUUCCAGGUUACCUGCUUCACCCCAGAACACUAAUAAAACGUUGGGCCUAAUAUUGCUAGGGGCAGUGAAGAAGAUGCCAGCACAGUUACAGGGGCUAAAGAAGAGAGAGGUUGAUACCACAGAGAGGUUGAAGCACCUCAUAUAUAGAAGAGUCAAUUUACACAAAGUCUCCAGGGCAGAUGAGGGAAAAGUACUCUUGCAUUCAAUCCUAAACAGGUCUCCUGGGAGCAAUGGUGGGUCCCAGGUGACAAAGGGGAUGAAAGUAGCCUCUGUGCCUUGAAUCAAGUAUUCUCAAAUGGGUGGGAAUGGUCUGACUUUCUCUGUAUAGGUUCCAGGAUGGACUGCUGGGACUGUGAUUUCUGCUGAAGUUUUCAUAGUUGGCAUCUAGAGCUUAUUAUGAAUCAAGAGUUCCUUUCUUAGGGGAGGUAGGUAAUUAUGAGCACUGGGCACAGGAAAGAGGGUAAGACUGAAGAAGAGGAAAGCAACAGGCUUUAGCUUAAAAGUAAGUUAAAUAAGAUAUUGGUAACAUGCCCUUGGCCAUGGAAUGUAGGAACAUUUUAUUUCAACCUGGUCAUCAAGGCCCACCCUUAAAUGAAGAAGAAAGUUUCCAGAUGCUAGUCCUGCUCUUCUGGGGGCAGCUCUCUGGAAAGAAGGGGCCCCACUAUAUAUAAGUAUUUUUGGUUCCCACUCUGGACCACAACCUGUGUCUCAGCUUGGCCCACUCAUGUAGGGUGGUCUCAGGAUCACUAACUUUGCCUUGUAGAAAACUGCAUUGGUCAGAAAUCGGGGCCAAGUUCAGAGAGGCUUAACAAUUCCUUAUAUAUUUUUCAAAGUGCUUUUGUUGCAUGUUUCAUUUUCUGCUAUACAUGGCAAUAAAUAUUUGUUGCUUUGGUCUGUACAAAUUCUGUGAGGAGGGUAAGACAGGUGUUAUCUAAUGGACAAACAAUCAAUACAGACAACUACCUUGUUCUGAAUUCCCCAGACAAUAGCAAGAGCAUCUGGAAGACUCAAGUCUUUUGAUUCAUGGUCCAAAUCGACGCCAGACUGCCACCUUUGCAGUUGUCACUUAAAUACAUUCAGUACCAAGAAUCAAUGUUCAGGAGUCCCACAAUGAGCCUGCAUGCCAUAGCUUUCUAAAAGAGAAUGUGAAAAGUCCCAGCAACUCAUAUAUAGAAAGCUAUUUAUUUCCUAUAGAAAACACCAAAAAAAAAAAAAAAAAAAGAGAGAGAGAG
rnacentral:lncRNA from 1 species